UACGGAGGGUGCAAGCGUUAUCCGGAUUCACUGGGCUUAAAGGGUGCGUAGGUGGGCAGGUAAGUCAGUGGUGAAAUCUCCGGGCUUAACCCGGAAACUGCCGUUGAUACUAUUUGUCUUGAAUAUUGUGGAGGUAAGCGGAAUAUGUCAUGUAGCGGUGAAAUGCUUAGAUAUGACAUAGAACACCAAUUGCGAAGGCAGCUUACUACGCAACGAUUGACGCUGAGGCACGAAAGCGUGGGGAUCAAACAGG
rnacentral:rRNA from 1 species